GACACGGGUUCAACGCCUGAUCCAGGAGAUCCCAUGGGCCAUGGGGUAACAAAGCCCCUGCACCACGACUUCUGCGCCUGCGCUCUGGAGCCUGUGAGCCACAACUACCGAGCCUAGAGCCCCGCCCGGACCAUAGCAAGAGAAGCCACCGUGGCCGCCGGUCAUCACUGCAUCUGGAGAAAAGCUCAUGCAGCAACGAAGACCCAGCAAGCCCCAAAUAAACACAUAUAAUUACAUAUAUAAAAGAAGGACCCAGUACUUCUACAGGCGGUGCCAUGCAGCCUGUGGGAUCUUAGUUCCUUGACCAGGGAUGGAACCCAGGCCCCUGCCUUAGGAGCGAGGAGUCUUAGCCACUGGACCACCAAGGAAGUCCCCUACUCUUAUGGAAAGGAAGAUUGACUGUCAUGAAAAGAGCUCGGGCUCUAGGGCGCUCCGGCUUCAGAAGUUGCAGCACAUGGGCUUAGCUGCACCGUGGCAUGUACCAGAAGAGGGAUCGAACCCAUGUCCAUUGCAUUGGCAGGCGGAUUCUUAACCACUGGACCACCAGAGAAGUCACUUAUCAAUUUCUAUUGAUUAAGGAAACCAAAAACCGUUGUCAGUAAGAGUCAGGGUCUUCUUUGUUGGCAUACCGAGCAAGACGUAUGUGAGACUCAUGUAGGAGAGUCUCUCUCCCCACAAUCAUUAUUAAUUUCCUUUAUUUAGACUGAAACACUGAUGCUCAGACAAAUUGAUAGUUUACAUGACUAAGUUUACAUAACUAAGAACUCAGAACUUGAGUUUUCUUCAGUUUUUUUUAGAAAUAUGAUAUAAUUUUAUUUUUUGCUUUUUUUAAAUACCUAAAAUUUUUUGUUGGAGUUUAAUUAAUUUACAGUGUUAUUUCAGGUAUACAGUGAAGAAUUCAGUUAUACAUGUAAUAACUUGUUUUCUAAUUCUAAAUUGGUAUUAAUUUCAAUAGACUUGCAUGCACUGUCUAAUAUAUAAAAUACUUUAUUAACAAUUUUAA